AGUGAACGCUGGCGGUAGGCCUAACACAUGCAAGUCGAACGGCAGCACAGUAAGAGCUUGCUCUUACGGGUGGCGAGUGGCGGACGGGUGAGGAAUACAUCGGAAUCUACUUUUUCGUGGGGGAUAACGUAGGGAAACUUACGCUAAUACCGCAUACGACCUACGGGUGAAAGCAGGGGAGCUUCGGACCUUGCGCGAGUGAAUGAGCCGAUGUCGGAUUAGCUAGUUGGCGGGGUAAAGGCCCACCAAGGCGACGAUCCGUAGCUGGUCUGAGAGGAUGAUCAGCCACACUGGAACUGAGACACGGUCCAGACUCCUACGGGAGGCAGCAGUGGGGAAUAUUGGACAAUGGGCGCAAGCCUGAUCCAGCCAUACCGCGUGGGUGAAGAAGGCCUUCGGGUUGUAAAGCCCUUUUGUUGGGAAAGAAAAGCAGCAGGUUAAUACCCCGCUGUUCUGACGGUACCCAAAGAAUAAGCACCGGCUAACUUCGUG
rnacentral:rRNA from 1 species